rfam:Anopheles dirus strain WRAIR2 unplaced genomic scaffold supercont1.100, whole genome shotgun sequence.
CAAUCGGCUCUUUUCAGAGCCACCGCACAAUCUCUAAAAGAAUUGAU